GCAUGAACAAUAUUAUCUGUAUUAAAAACUGUUCACUCAGUCCUUGUCAUUUUACAACUUAGUUCAGUAGCUUAUAUCACAUUGAACAUUUUCUCCAACUCUGAUCAAGGUGCCAUCAUUCACAGCAGUUCACUGAAGGGGUUGUCAGCCUUUCCAUUAAAAACACUUUUUUUCAGGAGUUUAUAAUUUGACUAGGUAAAAUAAUUACACCAAGAUUGACCUGGGGCUUUAUUUUAAGCAAAAUAUCCAUAAAAAUAUACCCUACUCCCAGAACCUAAAAUCCAACAAAGAACCCAAAUAAAGAAAGGAGUUGACUUGUAUGGUACAUAUGCCAUGGCCAUUUUUAUUUAAGAAAAUGAUGUGAUUUAUCAAACAGGUAUAACACUGCUUAAAUCUUUAACCAUUUCUUUAUAUCUGAAAUAUUCUUGGCUGUGUAUAAGAGGUGCUUGUCUAUCAACUUUUAGGUGCCUCAUGCCCAAACUCCUGAGAAAUUGGGUACCAGUGACACAGUUAAUGGUGUGAUGAUUGUAACGAGUGUGCCAGGUCCAGCUGUACCUGUGAAAGGAGAAGGAAGGACAAUCCCAUUUUAUUUUAGUGGAUACAGAAGUACUACAGUUGUGCAUGAGCGUUCCUUGGGAUAUGGAAAAGGACUUUCAGUUCCCUUCAGGUAAAGUGAUUUUCCUGAGACAAAUCAGACUUUCUGUGCUGUUCUGACAUUCCUGGGUGAAGGGCCUUUGCUGAUUUUUAGGAGAUAAGGGCACAUAUAAAUGUUCUUCUGUUGCUUGCAGGACGAAGGCCUGUGCUGUACCUUUAUAUUCAGGAAAGAAACUGAGCUAUCAGUGCAAUUAUUAUUUAUCUGCAUUUGUUUUCAGAGAUUAUCCAGUCUUCUUUGAGUCAAUGGCAAGAAAUAUGAGAUUAAAGUCUUUCUGUGCAAACAAUCAGUAAUAUUUCCCACUGGUUGCUUUUUUCAUCUAAAUAUGUAUUUCCUUGGUAGUAACAAGAACAAACAAAAU
rnacentral:lncRNA from 1 species